UACGGGGGGGGCAAGCGUUGUUCGGAAUUACUGGGCGUAAAGGGCUCGUAGGCGGCCAACUAAGUCAUACGUGAAAUCCCUCGGCUUAACCGGGGAACUGCGUCUGAUACUGGAUGGCUUGAGUUUGGGAGAGGGAUGCGGAAUUCCAGGUGUAGCGGUGAAAUGCGUAGAUAUCUGGAGGAACACCGGUGGCGAAGGCGGCAUCCUGGACCAUUACUGACGCUGAGGCGCGAAAGCUAGGGGAGCAAACGGG
rnacentral:rRNA from 1 species